AUUAAAUUGACCAAUCACAAUUCGUUGUGUACAAUGGACAGCACACUCAUCCAAUAACAUUUUGGAUUGCCGACACAACGUCCUCUUCACCUAAGGACUGCGUCUUGAUGUGCCUGCGCAGUUCACCUUCAUUUCCCUGUCCUUGCAACCACAUUAUCAAAGGUCAUCAUUGCUCCUUUAUAGUUGGAUAGAGCUUUUUGGCAGUGGGGGGAAGAGCUGAGGUUUGAUCCAUUGGAAAAUGACACAAAGAUAUGACUCACGCUGGAGAAGAAAAGUUAGGAUUCCAGAAAAUACUUGCAAAAGAUACAGAAAAAAGGACACACAAAGAGUGGAGAACUCAGAAUCAACAAACUGGAGGCCAGAUGGUUGCUGCACAGAAGGACUAGAGUGCCAUGCUACUCCUCAAUCUGCUGACUUUGCCCUUGAGGAACAUCCAUCAAUCAGGAAUUUGUGUGACAACAACAACCAAACAUUUUCCCAAUGCUCUCAACACACAAAAGAGACACAUCACACUGGCCUUAAUGAAGAAUCAGAGAGUGAAGAUCCUUUUCACAUAGAUACAUUUGGUCACCCCCUACAUGAGUUUGUUGAGGAGGGAACUUAAGAUCAUAACCAGUCAUCUGAUGAUGACCUGUCCUUUGAUGAAGACUUAUUAUGUGAAGACA